rnacentral:rRNA from 1 species
UACGAGAGGCCCAAACGUUAUUCGGAUUUACUGGGCUUAAAGAGUUCGUAGGCGGCGCGGAAAGUAGGGUGUGAAAGCCCUCGGCUCAACCGAGGAAUUGCGCUCUAAACUACCGUGCUCGAGGAAGCUAGAGGUGAGCGGAACUGAUGGUGGAGCGGUGAAAUGCGUUGAUAUCAUCAGGAACACCGGAGGCGAAGGCGGCUCACUGGUCCAUUACUGACGCUGACAGCGCGAAAGCCAGGGGAGCAAACGGG